CGGCGAUGAACAGCCGCCUGCAGGAGAUCAGGGAGCGGCAGAAGCUCCGGCGGCAGCUCUUGGCGCAGCAGUUAGGAGCCGAGAACGCAGACAGUAUCGGUGCCGUGCUGAACAGCAAAGAUGACCAGCGGGAGAUCGCGGAAACGAGAGAAACGUGUAGGGCUGCCUAUGAUACUUCUGCACCAAAUGCAAAACGCAAAUACCCUGAUGAGGGAGAAGCUGAUGAGGAAGAGAUUGAAGAAUAUAAGGAUGAAGUAGAGCUGCAGCAAGAUGAAGAGAACCUGCCCUAUGAAGAAGAGAUUUACAAAGAUUCCAGUACCUUUCUUAAGGGUACUCAGAGCUUAAAUCCACACAACGAUUACUGCCAACACUUUGUGGAUACAGGACACAGACCCCAGAACUUCAUCAGAGAUGUUGGCUUAGCAGAUAGGUUUGAAGAAUAUCCAAAACUUAGAGAGCUCAUCAGAUUGAAGGAUGAGCUGAUAUCUAAAUCUAACACUCCUCCCAUGUACUUACAAGCAGACUUGGAAGCUUUUGAUAUUAGGGAACUGAAGUCCAAAUUUGAUGUGAUUCUCCUGGAACCACCACUGGAAGAAUACUACCGAGAGACUGGCAUUACUGCCAAUGAAAAAUGCUGGACCUGGGAUGAUAUCAUGAAAUUGGAAAUUGAAGAAAUUGCAGCCCCAAGGUCAUUUGUGUUUCUAUGGUGCGGUUCAGGCGAGGGUCUGGAUCUUGGCCGAGUGUGUCUACGCAAGUGGGGUUACAGAAGAUGUGAGGACAUUUGUUGGAUUAAAACGAAUAAGAACAAUCCUGGAAAGACCAAGACUCUAGACCCUAAGGCUGUUUUCCAAAGAACCAAGGAGCACUGCCUCAUGGGCAUUAAAGGAACUGUGCGUCGCAGUACAGAUGGUGACUUCAUCCAUGCUAAUGUUGACAUUGACCUAAUCAUCACAGAAGAGCCUGAAAUUGGCAACAUAGAAAAACCUGUAGAGAUUUUUCACAUCAUUGAGCAUUUCUGCCUUGGACGACGACGUCUUCAUCUUUUUGGAAGGGACAGUACAAUUCGACCAGGUUGGCUGACUGUAGGACCCACCCUCACAAACAGCAAUUUCAAUGCAGAAACGUAUUCUUCAUACUUCACAGCUCCAAAUUCCCACCUGACCGGCUGUACCGAGGAGAUUGAGAGACUUCGGCCCAAGUCACCACCACCCAAGUCCAAGUCUGACCGGGGAGGUGGUGCUCCAAGGGGAGGAGGAAGAGGAGGGACUUCAGCAGGCCGAGGAGAAAGGGGCAGAGAGAGGAACAGAACUAACUUUCGGGGUGAGAGGGGUGGCUUCAGAGGGGGACGUGGAGGUACCCAUAGAGGAGGCUUCCCCACCCGCUGAUGGCUCUUAGGUAAUUCCUGCUUCCCCCACUCCUACGCCUCGUCUCUGAAUCUUUUCCUUGGUCUUGUUUUUGCUGAAGUGAAUUAUUCCGGGGACUCAAGCUAGAUGACUUUUAAAAUUGUUUUUGGCGCAAGCGGUUACAGAUGUCUGCCUUCCAGUGAUGGGCCUGGCACAUCGCCUCACCUGGCAGGCAGGGUCCUGCACCCAACAGCCCUAAACUCGGCCUCCUGACAGCUUCCCUUUGUCACAGCAGAGAGCACCAGCUCUUCAAACCACAGACAGGGUUGAAGUGAAGAUACUUGCUCUUCCUUUAUGAAACGUCAAAACCACAGCUCUGAAC